rnacentral:rRNA from 1 species
ACACACCUGGGAACCCAAUGUAAGGGCCCGGGAAAAAGGCCUUUAUGUCUUAUCACCAACCUUUAUGUCUCAUAAAAUGUAAAUCUAUAUCCUCGCCUUUAAAAGCGUUGAUAAACUUAUACAACUUUCAACAACGGAUCUCUUGGCUCUCGCAUCGAUGAAGAACGCAGCGAAAUGCGAUAAGUAAUGUGAAUUGCAGAUUUUCAGUGAAUCAUCGAAUCUUUGAACGCACCUUGCGCUCCUUGGUAUUCCGAGGAGCAUGCCUGUUUGAGUGUCAUUAAAUUCUCAACUCCGAUUGAUUUGAUUUGUUUCGAUCUCGGAGCUUGGACUCUGGAGUGUGCUGGCGUCUGUCGGCUCCUCUUAAAUGCAUCAGCGGAAUAGUAACCCCGGACAUCAGUGUGAUAAUUGUGUUGCGCUGUCGUCCGAGAUAUGAAAGUCCGCUCAUAAUGGUCUUCGGACAAACUUCACAUCAAAUUUGACCUCAAAUCACGUAGACUACCCGCUGAACUUGAGCAUAUCAA